CCUACGGGAGGCAGCAGUGAGGAAUAUUGGUCAAUGGGCGUAAGCCUGAACCAGCCAAGUCGCGUGAGGGAUGAAGGUUCUAUGGAUCGUAAACCUCUUUUAUAAGGGAAUAAAGUGUGGGACGUGUCCUGUUUUGUAUGUACCUUAUGAAUAAGGAUCGGCUAACUCCGUGCCAGCAGCCGCGGUAAUACGGAGGAUCCGAGCGUUAUCCGGAUUUAUUGGGUUUAAAGGGUGCGUAGGCGGCCUUUUAAGUCAGCGGUGAAAGUCUGUGGCUCAACCAUAGAAUUGCCGUUGAUACUGCCUUGCUGGAAUGCGGAUGCCGUGGGAGGAAUGUGUGGUGUAGCGGUGAAAUGCAUAGAUAUCACACAGAACACCGAUUGCGAAGGCAUCUCACGAAUCCGCGAUUGACGCUGAUGCACGAAAGCGUGGGUAUCAAACAGGAUUAGAUACCCUUGUAGUC
rnacentral:rRNA from 1 species